rnacentral:rRNA from 1 species
CAGCAGCCGCGGGAACACGUAGGGCGCAAGCGUUAUCCGGAAUUAUUGGGCGUAAAGAGCUCGUAGGCGGUUUGUCGCGUCUGCCGUGAAAGUCCGGGGCUCAACCCCGGAUCUGCGGUGGGUACGGGCAGACUAGAGUGAUGUAGGGGAGACUGGAAUUCCUGGUGUAGCGGUGAAAUGCGCAGAUAUCAGGAGGAACACCGAUGGCGAAGGCAGGUCUCUGGGCAUUAACUGACGCUGAGGAGCGAAAGCAUGGGGAGCGAACAGGAUUAGAUACCCGCGUAGUCCCUGUCUCUUAUAC